UACAAAUGUGGAGACCAAGGGAUGAUUUUCAGGAGUUAGUUCCCUUCUCCUGUGUGGGUCGUGGGGUUCAAACUCAAAUCAUCAGUAGCCCAGGCUAGCCUCUAACUUACCGUGUAGCAGAGGGUGAUCCUGAGCUCUUCCUCAUCUUUCCACAGUAAGUGUCUCACCAACGGAGUCUUCAUCCAACCGUUGUUUCUGUUUUUUGAGACAAGGUCCUAAUACAUAGUUCCGGCUAGCUUAGAACUCAAUGCAGAGACCAGGUUGGUCUCAAACUUGGAACAAUCCUCCUGCCUUAGCCUCCUGGAUGCUAGGGUUGUAAGCACACACCAGCAGGCUUGACUCUAGCAAUUUCUUGGAACACGGUGAGAUCUCAGGCUACAUUAAAUACAUGAAACUUGGAUCUAAAACAGCCCGUGGGAGUGUCGCCACAAGAUGGGUUCCACCCGCGGGGCUGCAUAAGCCAUGCAGGGUGGUAAGUGCCUGUAAUUCCAGUGGAGGCCCGAGGAGAGGAUCGAGGAUCGGAGGAUCAGGAGUUCAACACCAGGCAGAGUUUACAUAAUGACUUCAAGGCUAGCCUGGGUUACAUGAGAGCCUCUCUCAAAACAUAACAAAGUCACAUGUCAUGCAUGCUUUAAAAUGGUCUUAGUGACUUAAAUUACCGUCUCUCAUUUUCAUGCUCUGCCCGAGACCACGAUUUCUUCUGACGAGCUGCUUUUCUCAAGGAACUUCCUGGCUCCAGCUGUCUAAUUGAGGGCAAGUUAACCUCUGAGGGAAAUAGAUCCUGGCCAACAGUGUGAUCUCGUAGUCCCUAGGAUGACUGUCAUUUCCCUUUCUUGUCCCCUGGAGGACAGCCAAAAGCCCUGAGACCUGUGUCCGCAUGUUGAAGAUCUCAGAUUCAGAUUUCAGCAGAGAGCUACCCACAUGCCAUCCACCACCGGAGAUGCUCUGUACAAAUCUGCCCAAAAUAAAUAUGGCGCUCGUGACACAA
rnacentral:sRNA from 1 species